ACAGGUGUAGCAAUACACUGCCGGCGACCGGCGCACGGGUGCGUAACGCGUAUGCAACCUACCCAUAACAGGGGGAUAACACUGAGAAAUUGGUACUAAUACCCCAUAACAUCAGGACCGGCAUCGGUUCUGGUUGAAAACUCCGGUGGUUAUGGAUGGGCAUGCGUUGUAUUAGCUGGUUGGUGAGGUAACGGCUCACCAAGGCAACGAUACAUAGGGGGACUGAGAGGUUAACCCCCCACAUUGGUACUGAGACACGGACCAAACUCCUACGGGAGGCAGCAGUGAGGAAUAUUGGUCAAUGGACGCAAGUCUGAACCAGCCAUGCCGCGUGCAGGAAGACGGCUCUAUGAGUUGUAAACUGCUUUUGUACGAGGGUAAACGCUCUUACGUGUAAGAGCCUGAAAGUAUCGUACGAAUAAGGAUCGGCUAACUCCGUGCCAGCAGCCGCGGUAAUACGGAGGAUCCAAGCGUUAUCCGGAUUUAUUGGGUUUAAAGGGUGCGUAGGCGGUUUGAUAAGUUAGAGGUGAAAUACCGGUGCUUAACACCGGAACUGCCUCUAAUACUGUUGAACUAGAGAGUAGUUGCGGUAGGCGGAAUGUAUGGUGUAGCGGUGAAAUGCUUAGAGAUCAUACAGAACACCGAUUGCGAAGGCAGCUUACCAAACUAUAUCUGACGUUGAGGCACGAAAGCGUGGGGAGCAAACAGGAUUAGAUACCCUGGUAGUCCACGCAGUAAACGAUGAUAACUCGCUGUCGGCGAUACACGGUCGGCGGCUAAGCGAAAGCGAUAAGUUAUCCACCUGGGGAGUACGUUCGCAAGAAUGAAACUCAAAGGAAUUGACGGGGGCCCGCACAAGCGGAGGAACAUGUG
rnacentral:rRNA from 1 species